rnacentral:rRNA from 1 species
CCUAACACAUGCAAGUCGAACGGUAACAGGAAACAGCUUGCUGUUUCGCUGACGAGUGGCGGACGGGUGAGUAAUGUCUGGGAAACUGCCUGAUGGAGGGGGAUAACUACUGGAAACGGUAGCUAAUACCGCAUAACGUCGCAAGACCAAAGAGGGGGACCCUCGGGCCUCUUGCCAUCGGAUGUGCCCAGAUGGGAUUAGCUUGUUGGUGGGGUAACGGCUCACCAAGGCGACGAUCCCUAGCUAGUCUGAGAGGAUGACCAGCCACACUGGAACUGAGACACGGUCCAGACUCCUACGGGAGGCAGCAGUGGGGAAUAUUGCACAAUGGGCGCAAGCCUGAUGCAGCCAUGCCGCGUGUAUGAAGAAGGCCUUCGGGUUGUAAUAA